GACGAACGCUGGCGGCGUGCUUAACACAUGCAAGUCGAACGGAAAGGCCCUGCUUUUGUGGGUGGCUCGAGUGGCGAACGGGUGAGUAACACGUGAUUAACCUGCCCUUGACUUUGGGAUAACUUCAGGAAACUGGGGCUAAUCCCGGAUAGGAGCUCCUGCUGCAUGGUGGGGGUGGGAAAGUUUCGGCGGUUGGGGAUGGACUCGCGGCUUAUCAGCUUGUUGGUGGGGUAGUGGCUUACCAAGGCUUUGACGGGUAGCCGGCCUGAGAGGGUGACCGGCCACAUUGGGACUGAGAUACGGCCCAGACUCCUACGGGAGGCAGCAGUGGGGAAUAUUGCACAAUGGGCGGGAGCCUGAUGCAGCAACGCCGCGUGCGGGAUGACGGCCUUCGGGUUGUAAACCGCUUUCGCCUGUGACGAAGCGUGAGUGACGGUAAUGGGUAAAGAAGCACCGGCUAACUACGUG
rnacentral:rRNA from 1 species